rnacentral:rRNA from 1 species
UACGUAGGGACCGAGCGUUGUCCGGAAUCAUUGGGCGUAAAGAGCGUGUAGGCGGCCUUUUAAGUCCUGCGUGAAAUCCUGCGGCUCAACCGCAGACGGUCGUGGGAAACUGGAAGGCUAGAGUGCGGGAGAGGAGAGUGGAAUUCCCGGUGUAGCGGUGAAAUGCGCAGAUAUCGGGAAGAACACCCGUGGCGAAGGCGAGUCUCUGGACAUUUCCUGACGCUGAGGCACGAAAGCCAGGGGAGCAAACGGG